GAUGAACGCUGGCGGCGUGCCUAAUACAUGCAAGUCGAGCGAACAGACGAGGAGCUUGCUCCUCUGACGUUAGCGGCGGACGGGUGAGUAACACGUGGAUAACCUACCUAUAAGACUGGGAUAACUUCGGGAAACCGGAGCUAAUACCGGAUAAUAUAUUGAACCGCAUGGUUCAAUAGUGAAAGACGGUUUUGCUGUCACUUAUAGAUGGAUCCGCGCCGCAUUAGCUAGUUGGUAAGGUAACGGCUUACCAAGGCAACGAUGCGUAGCCGACCUGAGAGGGUGAUCGGCCACACGGGAGCGGAGACACGGUCCAGACUCCUACGGGAGGCAGCAGUAGGGAAUCUUCCGCAAUGGGCGAAAGCUUGACGGAGCAACGCCGCGUGAGUGAUGAAGGUCUUCGGAUCGUAAAACUCUGUUAUUAGGGAAGAACAAAUGUGUAAGUAACUAUGCACGUCUUGACGGUACCUAAUCAGAAAGCCACGGCUAACUACGUG
rnacentral:rRNA from 1 species